CAGCAACGCAAUUUACUUCUGCAGAAGCGUGCUGCUCGCAUCAAUCACGAUCGCAAGAGCACACUGAACAGAGGAAAGCAGGGGUUUUUAUUCCUAACGCAGUCCCUACCUCUGGCAUGGGCUGGGGUCAGACCGCACGAUCUAAACUGACCCGGUUGGCUAUUUGUGAAUAUUUUCCCAAAUAAGGAAGGGGGAAGGGGGAUGUGAGUUACAAUGGUGGGACUUGCGGUUUCCAAGGGAGAAAUGGGUGCAGAGCAGGUAACCAAGGGAACAGAUGUGAGUUAUUGAUUAGAACUGACGGAAGGUUGUUUACAGUAACUAAGGGCAAGGAGGCAUGGAGAACAAGAAAGUUGAGUUCGAAAACAAAAAAACAAGAAAGUUAACAUGCCAAACCUUGGAAGAGAAACUGACUGUAUCUGACAGCUUUAUACAUUUUAGGGAAACAGGAGACAUCAAUCAACAUAUGUAAGAUGAACACUGGUUUGAUCCGGGACAACCUGAAGCAAAAGCGGGUCAACUCGAAGCCAGGAGGGGGCUUCCAGGUCACAGAAAUGGGGUCUCCCUCAGUUGCCCAGGCUGGUCUCUGGUGCCCAACGCCGGGCUCCCGGUAAUCUCUACAAAUAAUCCAGUGAAGGAAUGCCAGAGAGUGGAAAGUGGAGGAUGACUGACAAAGGACGCCCGAGUACGUUUUCACUUCAAGCUCUACAGGUAAGUAGGGCGCUCGGAAAAUUCCAGGGUAACCUCCGGAAACUAUGGGUCAGGCUGAGAGUAAGUUUGCUAAUUACUGAAGCCUUGUCCGGCAGUUACUGCGCCGCGGAGGGGUAAUUGUGAGUACCCAAAAUCUCCCAUCUUUGUUCUAUCUGGUAAAAAAGUAUUCUCUUUGGUUCCCGGAAUAUGGAACCAUGAAUGUAAAAGACUGGGACAAGGUCGGAUCAGACUUAAAACGAGCACAACAAGAGGGCCACGAUAUUCCCUUCUUGCUUGG
rnacentral:lncRNA from 1 species